AAGCUGCCCUGAUCAAACAUCUCCCUGUGGAGGCUUCUAAAGACUUCCUCUCAUCCGAAUCUCCCAUUUUUUCAGGAGAUGUCAAAGAAGAAGAUGGGUAAGGAUCUGAGUGACAAUACCUUAAGACUCUCGGUGUCCUGACAAAGAGUAUACAAAAGAAAAGAAAGACUAGAAAGUUGAGAGGAUGGAGACAAGAGAUGCUAAAAAGAGAGAAGUUGUGUGUUUAUAACAAAGAUAUGGUCUUGUGAUCUUCUUUUGUAGGUGUUUGUUUGUUCAUAUAUGUGUUGUUAGUAAAUAUCCAAUGUAUUUUAAGCAUCGAUUCUGGAGAUUACUUGGAAGUGCCCACAUGGGCAGCCUUUCCUCAAUUAUUUUUGCAAAUUUUAUAUUAUUAUCUA